CGCGUCAACUUCCGGGCGGGUGCCCGCCAGCACGGCCUCCGCCGCUCCCCUCCUUUGGCCCCUUUGUGUCCCCGCAGUGUCGAGGCACGGGCCCUGGCACGUCCUUUUUCGAGGCAGGGAGCAUCGUAGUGCAGAGAGCCUCUCACUGUGGGCGGGCGCGCCGCCCGCAGGGGGUUAGCGUGGGGAACGUGCCUGCGCGUGCUGGGAUAGUUCAUUUAAAGCUCCCAUCCCCACGAGGUGGUGGUUUCUACCAAUAUGAAUCUUUUCAACCUGGACCGUUUUCGCUUUGAGAAAAGGAAUAAGAUUGAGGAAGCGCCCGAAGCAACCCCUCAACCCUCCCUGCCUGGCCCUUCUUCACCAAUUUCUCUUAGUGCUGAAGAGGAGAAUGCUGAAGGGGAAGUUAGCAGGGCAGGCACCCCUGAUUCAGAUAUAACUGAAAAAACAGAAGAUUCUAGUGUUCCAGAAACCCCAGAAAAUGAAAGAAAAGCAAGUAUAUCAUAUUUCAAGAAUCAAAGAGGAAUUCAAUAUAUUGAUUUGUCUUCAGAUAGUGAAGAUGUUGUUUCCCCAGAUUGCUCCAGUACAGUUCAAGAGAAAAAAUUCAGCAAAGACACGGUGAUUAUAGUUUCUGAGCCAUCUGAAGAUGAAGAGUCCCAAGGCCUUCCUACCAUGGCAGGUAGAAAUAAUAAUGAUAUUUCAGAAUUGGAAGACCUUUCGGAAUUGGAAGACCUUAAAGAUGCUAAACUUCAGACCUUGAAGGAACUUUUUCCACAGAGAAGUGACAGUGAUUUACUUAAGUUAAUUGAAUCAACCAGCACUAUGGAUGGAGCAAUUGCUGCUGCCUUGCUGAUGUUUGGUGAUGCAGAAGGUGGUGGACCUAGGAAAAGAAAAUUAUCUUCUUCUUCAGAGCCAUUUGAGGAAGAUGAAUUUAAUGAUGAUCAGUCUAUGAAAAAGAAGAGAUUGGAUCAAGGAGAGGAGUCAAAUGAGUCUGCAGAAUCUAGCAGUAAUUGGGAAAAACAGGAAAGUAUUGUGUUGAAAUUGCAAAAGGAAUUUCCCAAUUUUGAUAAAGAGGAAUUAAGGGAAGUACUCAAGGAACAUGAAUGGAUGUACACAGAGGCUUUAGAAUCUUUAAAAGUGUUUGCGGAAGACCAAGAUAUGCAAUAUGCUUCACCAAGUGAAUUUCCAAAUGGAAAAGAAGUUUCUUCAAGGAGUCAAAAUUAUCCUAAAAACGCAGCUAAAACAAAACUGAAACAGAAAUGUUCCAUGAAACCACAAAAUGGUUUUAACAAGAAACGUAAAAAAACUGUAUUUAAUCCUAAAAGAGUUAUUGAAGACUCUGAAUAUGAUUCAGGUUCUGAUGUCGGUAGUUCAUUAGACGAGGACUAUAGUAGUGGUGAAGAAGUGAUGGAGGAUGGCUAUAAAGGUAAAAUUCUUCACUUCCUUCAAGAUGCUUCAAUUGGUGAACUUACUUUGAUUCCUCAGUGUUCUCAGAAAAAGGCUCAGAAGAUAACAGAACUCCGGCCCUUUAAUAGUUGGGAAGCUCUGUUCACAAAGAUGUCCAAAACGAAUGGCUUAUCAGAAGAUUUGAUAUGGCACUGUAAAACACUGAUCCAAGAAAGGGAUGUAGUUAUAAGGCUUAUGAACAAAUGUGAAGACAUUUCAAAUAAAUUGACAAAACAAGUUACCAUGCUCACUGGAAAUGGAGGUGGAUGGAACAUAGAACAACCCUCCAUUCUAAACCAAAGUUUGUCACUCAAGCCCUAUCAGAAGGUUGGUUUGAAUUGGCUGGCAUUGGUACAUAAACAUGGACUUAAUGGCAUUUUGGCAGAUGAAAUGGGCCUGGGAAAAACUAUUCAAGCGAUUGCAUUCCUAGCGUACCUCUAUCAGGAGGGUAAUAAAGGUCCUCAUUUGAUUGUUGUUCCAGCAUCAACUAUAGAUAACUGGCUAAGGGAAGUUAAUUUAUGGUGUCCCACUUUAAAGGUGCUCUGUUACUAUGGUUCUCAAGAAGAACGUAAACAGAUUAGAUAUAACAUUCAUAGUAAAUACGAAGAAUACAAUGUAAUCGUGACCACGUAUAAUUGUGCAAUCAGCAGUUCUGAUGAUCGUAGUCUGUUUCGUCGUCUGAAAUUGAAUUACGCAAUUUUUGAUGAGGGCCAUAUGCUGAAGAAUAUGGGCUCCAUCCGCUACCAGCACCUUAUGACAAUUAAUGCAAAUAACCGUUUGCUGCUCACAGGCACACCUGUGCAGAAUAACCUGUUAGAACUCAUGUCGCUGUUGAAUUUUGUUAUGCCGCACAUGUUCAGUAGUAGCACCAGUGAAAUACGAAGAAUGUUUUCUUCUAAGACAAAAUCAGCAGAUGAGCAAACUAUAUAUGAAAAGGAGAGAAUAGCACAUGCAAAACAAAUUAUAAAACCAUUUAUUCUCAGAAGAGUAAAAGAAGAGGUUCUCAAGCAGCUACCCCCCAAGAAAGAUCGAAUUGAGUUGUGUGCAAUGUCAGAGAAGCAGGAGCAACUCUAUUUGGGUCUUUUCAACAGAUUGAAAAAAUCUAUCAAUAACAUGGAAAAAAACACAGAAAUGUGCAAUGUCAUGAUGCAGUUGAGAAAAAUGGCCAAUCAUCCUUUAUUACAUCGCCAAUAUUACACAGCUGAAAAACUCAAGGAAAUGUCUCAGCUUAUGCUAAAGGAACCUACACAUUGUGAGGCUAACCCUGACCUGAUCUUUGAAGAUAUGGAAGUUAUGACAGACUUUGAAUUACAUGUACUUUGUAAACAGUAUCGACACAUUAAUAACUUCCAGUUAGACAUGGACUUGAUUUUAGAUUCUGGAAAAUUUCGAGUUUUAGGCUGCAUCUUGUCUGAAUUGAAACAGAAGGGUGAUAGAGUUGUAUUAUUUAGCCAAUUUACCAUGAUGCUGGAUAUUUUAGAGGUUCUCUUAAAACAUCAUCAGCAUAGGUACCUCAGAUUAGAUGGAAAGACUCAGAUUUCUGAAAGGAUUCAUCUAAUUGAUGAGUUUAAUACCGAUAUGGAUAUCUUUGUGUUUCUGCUGUCAACAAAAGCUGGUGGCCUAGGAAUAAACCUGACUUCAGCAAAUGUUGUUAUACUUCACGAUAUUGACUGUAAUCCUUACAAUGACAAACAAGCAGAAGAUAGAUGCCAUAGAGUAGGCCAGACUAAGAAAUGAUGUUUAAAAGUGACGUGCUCAGAAAAUGUCAAUCUCAAGUAGUUUGAAUAAAAGAAUUUAAAUUUAUGGAUGUAUUUGUUAAACAAUUUUCAAAUUAUUCUUAUUGCAUUCUAAGGUGACGAAGGGAGUAUGCCAGCAGAUAUAGCCACAUUACUAAAAACAUCAAUGGGCCUGUGAAAUAAGAAUUGUUAAUUCCUAACUGAUGAUGAAAUAUCAACUUGGUGCACUCAAGGACAUUUACAUUAUGAUGACCAUGGGGUUUAUGAACAUUUAUAACUUUUUAUAAUUUCCAUAUUACAUUUCUCAUAGUAUGGACAACUUUUUUGCCACUAACUGAAUUCUCCAGAUGCUCACAUGUGAAAUUUCAAAAAAAAGCCACAGAUACGUAGUCUUGAAGAUGUUAAAUAAUCAUUUUACAAAACAGUUUUCUGAAUGGGGAUUAGUUGGUGAUUGUUUGUAACAAAUACGCUAAUGCUUUAGAAAUGUCAGUAUUUUUGUAAUUAUUUCUACCUCCAAAUAUAUAUAUAUAUUGUCUUUCACUGGAUAAUAUGUGUAGAUUUUUACAUGUGCCUUAUUUGACAAUGCUUAUGUCUUGUUUUUGCUCGUCUCAUUUGAAGUUCUUUUUUAUUAUGUUAAAGAAUGCAGCUGUAUAGAUUAUAUAGCUUUCAUUUUAUUGCUAUUUGAGACAGAUGUUCACCACUGUCAACAAGAACUCAACAUGAAUUUAAAGGUGGCAUUCCAUAUACUAACACCCCCAGGUCCUCCCAAGUACUUCUGUUAAAACAGAUUUGUUUGGCUAGGCACUAAGUUGUUUUCCAGUGAAUAGUAACUAAAGAAGCCCUUAUCUUGCUCCAUGGAUUAAUUCCUUCUGUUCAUUUCCCAACUGCACUAAUUGUGCUAUUACUCUGCCUAUUCUUGUGCAUGUUUUCAUUGAUUUCCCUCUCCUGGCUUUUGCUUCUCUUGAAACUGUUGCCCAGUCAUUUCUGCUCCAGUUCUCUUUACUCUCUAAAUAGUAGUUUAUUCCUGCCACAUCUCCGCACAUCAGCAAAAUAUUGGUGACAUUUUUCUAGCCUGGCAGAACAGAUUAACAGGCUAUUUCACUUCAAAGCAGACUGAAUGUGACUUCAUUUCAAGGCAGCAUUAGGUACUGCAUGGAAAUAGGUCAUUAACUUUAAAUUCUUAUCAAAAUAUAACUUAGCAGUUUGCAGAAUUUCCAGUAUGGGACCUCCUAAAGAGAGCCAUUGUUCAAUUCCAAAUCAGUGUGGGUGACAAAGUGAAAUUUAGAAGAGGUAAAGUUGUCUACUUGAUAUUUAACUCUUUAUUAAGUCUUUCUUUAAAUUUUUGCCUGUCAGUCUAUAUUGCUGUUUUAUUAUACAUCAGUUUCUUUGUAUAACUUGUGAGUUUCAUGUGUUUUGUUUUAUUAUGUAAAUAUUAUUAUAAAUAAACUUAUUUAUAAAUCAAAGAUUUGUUAAUUUUUGGAGAUUAUACUUUCAAGACCUCCUGACUUCCUAAGUUUUUAAGGUGAUAUAAUCCUCGACUUAGAAGGCUAAUGAAGCUCUUACAUUGAUUCUUCAGAUACUGUAGACUCUGAAAGCUGAUGAGUCAGUAGACUUAGCCAAUCUUGCAAGUGUAUUGAAUAUACUCAACACAUUUUAGUGUAAUGGGCUGAAGGGACCUGCAAAUAGUAUUAAUACCUCCUUCUGCAUCACAGUACCGAAAUCGCUUAGUGAAAUGUUGAGAAUAUUCUAAAAAUCGCAUAAUGGAUUUCUCAUAACUUUCCUGUACUAAUGUAUCUUCAAUGAUAGGCUGUUUCUUUUGUUGUCGUUGUUAAAUCCAUAUUUUUAUUUUAAUGAAUGUAGUUGGGUUCUCCCUGUAAUGCCAUAUUAUGUUUUUGGCAUAAUAAAAAUAUUUGUGAUCAUAAGUUGUAUUUUCGCACCCUUAGUAGUUUCUAAACUUUCAUCCCUUUACCCUUAAAAAUGCAUAAUAUGGAAGGACUUCCCCGGUGGUGCAGUGGUUAAGAAUCCACCUGCCAAUGCAGGGGACACGGGUUCGAGCCCUGGUCCAGGAAGAUCAUACAUACCGCGGAGCAACUAAGCCCGUGCACCACAACUACUGAGCCUGCGUGCCACAACUACUGAAGCCCAUGCACUCUAGGGCCCACGUGCUACAACUACUGAAGCCCAGGUGCCUAGAGCCCGUGCUCCACAACAGGAGAAGCCAUGGCAAUGAGAAGCCCACACACCACAAUGAAGAGUAGCCCCAGCUCAGCACAACUAGAGAAAGCCCACGCACAGCAACAAAGACCCAAAAAGAAAAAACCAUAAUAUUGAGCACAAA